rnacentral:rRNA from 1 species
GCACUGGCUUCGCUGAUUCCUCCUUUCUGAAGAACUGUAAUGCCAUUAAUUUGGUGUUGCAGGGAAACAGGACUGUUACUUUGAAAAAAUUAGAGUGUUUAAAGCAGGCUAACGCUUGAAUACAUUAGCAUGGAAUAAUGAAAUAGGACGUUCGAUCCUAUUUUGUUGGUUUCUAGGAUUGACGUAAUGAUUAAUAGGGAUAGUUGGGGGCAUUAGUAUUCAAUUGUCAGAGGUGAAAUUCUUGGAUUUAUUGAAGACUGACUACUGCGAAAGCAUUUGCCAAGGAUGUUUUCAUUAAUCAAGAACGAAAGUUAGGGGAUCGAAGACGAUCAGAUACCGUCGUAGUCUUAACCAUAAACUAUGCCGACUAGGGAUCGGAUGAUGUUAAUUUUUUAAUGACUCAUUCGGCGCCUUACG